UUCUGCACGGACGCUUCAGCUUCACCAUUGUUGCCAACGAGGCGGCGCCGAGCUCCCGCUUUCCACCGGCCCACUUGGCACGCUCACGGUCCCAGAAUGCACUGCGCACUGCCGUCCCAGCGGCUGUUGGCAUCACUGAAUACAAAGGAGUUCAGAAUGAAGAGAUCCUGAAGGAUGAGCUGCCGGUCCUUGGUGCCCCGGACACCAUGGAGAAGACUGCCAGCAGGUCACACACACACACACACACACACACAGCGGCCUUUGCUUCAUGUAAAUGUAUCAUUCACAUGCCAAAUGAAGCUGUGAUGAAGGGAAACGUGGAAGAGGAGCUUUGCUUGCUGCCUUUGCUAAACAGAUGGUGUCCUUUACUUUAGGUUUUACUCGCCACACAUAGAACAGGCUUUACACUUCCUGUCAUGGCGUUCUAGCCAAGUGUUUAGAAUGUGCUUUGAGACGGGACUUCAACCCACAAUCUACGUCCACUGAGUGAGACAGAACCCAGUUAGAAAAGAGCGCUGCAGCUUUCUUUGCAGUGACAUUAACUGUGAAACUGCUGAUUUGACUUUGACAUUACCAACUGCACUGCCAUGUAAUAUGGGCGCACGUGUUAUACAGCCCAGAUUGUGCUAAUCACUCCCAAACCAUCUGUGGGAGAUAUAUUCUAUCUACAGAUUGUACAGCUCCCCAAUCCAGCGUUUGGGACGGUCUGAAUGGAGGGCAGAUGCUGCUGGGCCUCUAUGUGUUGCAGGUCGCGCUGUCUUGUGAAGCAGCUGGAAAGGGUGGAGGCAUCUGUGGUGGAGCUGAAGAGAAACCUGGACUACGCCGCCUCAGUCCUAGAAGCUCUGUGCAUUGAGGAAGCCAGGCGAGAGAUUUCACUUCUGCUUUUCUCAAAUAAUCCAUGAACAUGAAGAAAAAGGGAUUUUAAAAUGAUUUUCUUGAAUUCUUUCACGAUCGGCAGCUAAAUAGACCUUUGAGCAGAGGUGGAGGAGCACGUAGAGAAAUGGCCAAACGCAAACGUUUGUCCUAAAAAACCAACCUGUGGAGCAGAGGAGUCCACAAAAGGUACAACAAUCCAAAGAAUCCAAGGGGAAACAUUGAAGUGUAAAAGCAGAAAGCAGGUGAGGUUCAGGUUAACACAUCAUCCUCAUGCACGCAGGACUUUAUGGACACAAAGGGUUUCUUCCCGUCGGCAGUCGGCUCAUCAACAGAGCGCGGCUCCCCCAGCGUUUUAAUGGCACACGGUACUGGGCCAUUCCAGUAGCACGGUGGCUUCCUCACUCAUUUAUAAAUCACAACGGGAUC